UUAACGACAGAACCAAAUAUAGAUUAAAUAAAAUAGUUGAAAAGUAUGCAAUAACGAGUGAUUUUUGGAUUAUAAAAAGAAGCAUACAUGCGUGGAGUAGAUUGUGUUUUGUGCUAGCUAGAGUGAUGGCUUCUAAGAGUAAGAGGUGCUCAUCGUUUAUUUUUGUGUUUCUCUUAGUUUGUUUGUUGAGUUUUUCUGCCAAAGCUUAUGAACCUAAUCAUGUUUCAGAAUUCAGAUGAAAGAAGGGGUGGAGCGAGAGUGCUUGAACAGCGUCCACCAUGUAAGAGAAGAAUGACUUCCUCCGGCGUGGGUCCAUUUCGCAGGAGUGAACCAAAAGAUGAUCCACGUUGCCACAAUUAUCUCUGAUCUCAUCUCUAAUAUAUGCAUGCAUGUCUUCUAAUUCUCAGGAUCAAGUAUAUAUACAAAUAAUAAUCACAUAUGAAAUGAAACUGGUUUUAUGUUUAGUUCA